UCAUGAUAGUUUGUAAUACCAUGGACUGGCAGCUUAGGGAGCAGACGUGGAUUCCUCACCGUCUGGGGGCUGGGAAGUCUGGGGUCAUGAUGCUGGCAGGUUGGGUUCAUGGCCCAGGGUGCCCUUCCUGCUUGGCGGCUGGCACCUUCUCACUGUGUCCUCACUGUGGACAGAGCAAGCUGUCUGGUGUCUCUUCUCACAGGGACGCUGAGCCCACCAAGGACCCCGUCUCAGCUAAGCUCCCUCGUCUGUGGUGACUGGAUCACCUCCCCAGACCCCAUCACGUGGGCCUUGGGUUCGGGCCCUAGCUUGUGUGGGUGGGGAGGCCACGUGUUUCUGUUAACCUCUGAGUAUCUUCACACGCACGCUUUUCAGGAGUCUUGACGGCUGUGUGUGUUUCUCCUCGGCGCUCUGCCUGCGCUCCGCCGUGAUGCUGAGUCAUCAUCGCCCAGGCAUCCAGUGCCGAGCUGUGGUCCGCGAUGGUGGAGGGGGCCCCGUGCCGCCUCGGCUCCCUCUGUCUUUUCGCGCUGAGUGCUGGGUGACGGUGUUCUGGGAGGAGCCGCGUCAGGGACCUUUUCACAAGGCUGUGCUCAUAGCUGCGGGCCCGCAUCCAUCUCCCGAGUCCCCUGUGGCCGUUGGCCCAGUGCAGUUUGCCCUGCUUGUCUCGCCGGAAGGCUGAGUCGGGCCAGGGCCGCCCGUGCUGUCAAACCCUUCCUCCGCGCGCCCUUGUGGGUCUGCGGCUCUGACCACAGUCAAUGCCCCUCCACGCCUUGCCUGUUCUCGGCACGGAGCAGAGCCGAGGAGGGUCUGGGUGUUCGGGCUGGGUGUGCUCUGAGGCCCAGCAGCCCAGGCUCGGAGCUCAGCUCAGCCGCUGUGUGGCCCGGGGAUCUGUGACGGCGUCCAGUUCGGAGCUGGGAUCAGGUUCCUGUAGCGGAUGCAGAGCGUCCUCCGGCCCCCCCAGCAGCAGCUCCAGGACGCGGGCAGCAGUUAGGUUCUCGGGGCCACAUUCUCUCUCUCCAGAUAAACAUGUUUCAUGGAUCCUUCGACUGCAGUCCUUGUUGAAACCAUGUCAAUAAAUUUUCAAAGAUAAAUCCUU